CUCCUUGUCAAAACUUGUUACUGGCAAAUUCCCUAUUUUAUUUAUGUGCCUUUUUGCUACUGCCUCUCCCUCUAUUGCCACUAUAAUAAUUGAAUCAACUUUGUAUUAUUGUUAGAUUUUUACCUAAGACGAUCACUAUGUAAAAAGUGUAUAUAAGGAGAUAAUUUAUAAAUAGAAUAAUAUAAUGAAAGAUAAGUUGCGUAUAAUACUUGAUUCAUUCUAAUAUCAUAUUAAAUUUAGGCCCAAAAUGUUAUGAUAUUAUUGGAAUAGCUAGAUAGAAAGGGGAUAAUUAAUACCCGUUAUUAUACUUAGUUGAUAUAACAUUACAAUCUAAACAAACC
rnacentral:lncRNA from 1 species